UACAGAGGUGCCAAGCGUUAGGCGGAAUCACUGGGCUUAAAGCGCGCGUAGGCGGAUGUUUAAGUGUCUUGUGAAAUCCCACGGCUCAACCGUGGAACUGCUGGGCAUACUGGACAUCUCGAGGCACUCAGGGGCGAGCGGAACAAGUGGUGGAGCGGUGAAAUGUGUUGAUAUCAUCAGGAACUCCGGUGGCGAAGGCGGCAUGCUGGACCUUCACUGACGCUGAGGCGCGAAAGCUAGGGUAGCGAACGGG
rnacentral:rRNA from 1 species